UGCGCAGGCGGUUUUGUAAGACAGAGGUGAAAUCCCCGGGCUCAACCUGGGAACUGCCUUUGUGACUGCAAGGCUAGAGUACGGCAGGAGGGGGAUGGAAUUCCGCGUGUAGCAGUGAAAUGCGUAGAUAUGCGGAGGAACACCGAUGGCGAAGGCAGUCCCCUGGGCCUGUACUGACGCUCAUGCACGAAAGCGUGGGAGCAAACA
rnacentral:rRNA from 1 species